CACGUAGGGCGCAAGCGUUGUCCGGAAUUAUUGGGCGUAAAGAGCUCGUAGGCGGUCUGUUGCGUCUGCUGUGAAAACUCGGGGCUUAACCCCGAGCCUGCAGUGGAUACGGGCAGACUAGAGGUAGGUAGGGGAGAAUGGAAUUCCCGGUGUAGCGGUGAAAUGCGCAGAUAUCGGGAGGAACACCGGUGGCGAAGGCGGUUCUCUGGGCCUUACCUGACGCUGAGGAGCGAAAGCGUGGGGAGCGAACAGGAUAGAUA
rnacentral:rRNA from 1 species